CCCUUAGAUGUUCUGGGCCGCACGCGUGCUACACUGAGUGGAUCAGCGGGUCAGGUUGCGCGAAAGCGUUUCCUAAUCUUUAAAUCCGCUCGUGAUGGGGAUUGACGGUUGCAAUUUUCUGUCAUGAACGAGGAAUACCUUGUAAGCGCGGGUCAUUAUCCCGCGCUGAAUACGUCCCUGCCCUUUGUACACACCGCCCGUCGCUCCUACCGAUUGAGUGGUCCGGUGAGGCUUUGGGAUCUGAGCGGAAAGAGCGUUUCGCUGUUUCUGCUCGGAAAACUCAGUCGAACCUUAUCAUUUAGAGGAAGGAGAAGUCGUAACA
rnacentral:rRNA from 1 species